rnacentral:rRNA from 1 species
AACGAACGCUGGCGGCAGGCCUAACACAUGCAAGUCGAGCGAGGACUUCGGUUCUAGCGGCGGACGGGUGAGUAACGCGUGGGAAUGUGCCCUUCUCUACGGCAUAGCCCUGGGAAACGGGGAGUAAUACCGUAUACGCCCUAUUGGGGAAAGAUUUUUCGGAGAAGGAUCAGCCCGCGUUGGAUUAGGUAGUUGGUGGGGUAAUGGCCUACCAAGCCGACGAUCCAUAGCUGGUUUGAGAGGAUGAUCAGCCACACUGGGACUGAGACACGGCCCAGACUCCUACGGGAGGCAGCAGUGGGGAAUCUUAGACAAUGGGGGCAAUGCUGAACGAGCCAUGCCGGGUGAGUGAUGAAGGCCUUAGGGUAGUAAAGCUCUUUCAGCUGGGAAGAUAAUGACGGUACCAGCAGAAGAAGCCCCGGCUAACUCCGUG